rnacentral:rRNA from 1 species
GACGAACGCUGGCGGCGUGCUUAACACAUGCAAGUCGAACGGAAAGGCCCUGCUUUUGUGGGGUGCUCGAGUGGCGAACGGGUGAGUAACACGUGAGUAACCUGCCCUUGACUUUGGGAUAACUUCAGGAAACUGGGGCUAAUACCGGAUAGGAGCUCCUGCUGCAUGGUGGGGGUUGGAAAGUUUCGGCGGUUGGGGAUGGACUCGCGGCUUAUCAGCUUGUUGGUGGGGUAGUGGCUUACCAAGGCUUUGACGGGUAGCCGGCCUGAGAGGGUGACCGGCCACAUUGGGACUACGGUACGGCCCAGACUCCUACGGGAGGCAGCAGUGGGGAAUAUUGCACAAUGGGCGGAAGCCUGAUGCAGCAACGCCGCGUGCGGGAUGACGGCCUUCGGGUUGUAAACCGCUUUCGCCUGUGACGAAGCGUGAGUGACGGUAAUGGGUAAAGAAGCACCGGCUAACUACGUG